AGAGUUUGAUCAUGGCUCAGAUUGAACGCUGGCGGCAGGCCUAACACAUGCAAGUCGAGCGGUAACAGAAAGUAGCUUGCUACUUUGCUGACGAGCGGCGGACGGGUGAGUAAUGCCUGGGAAUAUGCCUUGAUGUGGGGGAUAACCAUUGGAAACGAUGGCUAAUACCGCAUAAUCUCUUCGGAGCAAAGAGGGGGACCUUCGGGCCUCUCGCGUCAAGAUUAGCCCAGGUGGGAUUAGCUAGUAGGUGAGGUAAUGGCUCACCUAGGCGACGAUCUCUAGCUGGUCUGAGAGGAUGAUCAGCCACACUGGAACUGAGACACGGUCCAGACUCCUACGGGAGGCAGCAGUGGGGAAUAUUGCACAAUGGGCGCAAGCCUGAUGCAGCCAUGCCGCGUGUGUGAAGAAGGCCUUCGGGUUGUAAAGCACUUUCAGUCGUGAGGAAGGCAGUUGCGUUAAUAGCGUAAUUGUUUGACGUUAGCGACAGAAGAAGCACCGGCUAACUCCGUGCCAGCAGCCGCGGUAAUACGGAGGGUGCGAGCGUUAAUCGGAAUUACUGGGCGUAAAGCGCAUGCAGGUGGUUAGUUAAGUCAGAUGUGAAAGCCCGGGGCUCAACCUCGGAAUUGCAUUUGAAACUGGCUAGCUAGAGUACUGUA
rnacentral:rRNA from 1 species